AGUGAACGCUGGCGGUAGGCCUAACACAUGCAAGUCGAACGGCAGCACAGUAAGAGCUUGCUCUUACGGGUUGCGAGUGGCGGACGGGUGAGGAAUACAUCGGAAUCUACUUUUUCGUGGGGGAUAACGUAGGGAAACUUACGCUAAUACCGCAUACGACCUACGGGUGAAAGCAGGGGAUCUUCGGACCUUGCGCGAUUGAAUGAGCCGAUGUCGGAUUAGCUAGUUGGCGGGUUAAAGGCCCACCAAGGCGACGAUCCGUAGCUGGUAUGAGAGGAUGAUCAGCCACACUGGAAAUGAGACACGGUACAGACUCCUACGGGAGGCAGCAGUGGGGAAUAUUGGACAAUGGGCGCAAGCCUGAUCCAGCCAUACCGCGUGGGUGAAGAAGGCCUUCGGGUUGUAAAGCCCUUUUGUUGGGAAAGAAAAGCAGCAGGUUAAUACCCCGCUGUUCUGACGGUACCGAAAGAAUAAGCACCGGCUAACUUCGUG
rnacentral:rRNA from 1 species